GGCCCUUGUGUUGCCCAUUCAUUUUUGCUGUUUGUGAAUGAGGUGUCAAAAGGGGCAAAAAGUAAAAUUCCUUGUGGCAUUUUAAUUUGCCUUGUAUUUUAUGGGAGGCUGUUGUUGCUCACUUGGAACAAGU